CCUACGGGAGGCAGCAGUGAGGAAUAUUGGUCAAUGGGCGUAAGCCUGAACCAGCCAAGUCGCGUGAGGGAUGAAGGUUCUCUGGAUCGUAAACCUCUUUUAUAAGGGAAAAAAGUGUGGGACGUGUCCUAUUUUGUAUGUACCUUAUGAAUAAGGAUAGGCUAACUCCGUGCCAGCAGCCGAGGUAAUACGGAGGAUCCGAGCGUUAACCGGAUUUAUUGGGUUUAACGGGUGCGUAGGCGGCCUUUUAAGUCAGCGGUGAAAGUCUGGGGCUAAACCAUAGAAUUGCUGUUGAAACUGGGGGGCUUGAGUAUGUUAGAGGCAGGCGGAAUGCGUGGUGUAGCGGUGAAAUGCUGAGAUAUCACGCAGAACCCCGAUUGCGAAGGCAGCCUGCCAAGCCAUGACUGACGCUGAUGCACGAAAGCGUGGGGAUCAAACAGGAUUAGAUACCCCUGUAGUC
rnacentral:rRNA from 1 species